UCGCUUCAGCAGCGCAUCUACUAAACAAUUGGAAGAAUACAGAGAUUAGCACAGCCCCUGCACAAGGAUGACAUGCAAAUUCAUGAAGCGUUCCAUAAAAAA
ensembl:snRNA LOC120097659 U6 spliceosomal RNA